AUUCCUUCUUUCUUGACUUCUGGGUCAACCCAACCCGCAUGGGAAGAAGAGGGUCAGCCAAACAGCGGGCAGCUCCAUUUUUUACAUUUGCUGAGGCAGACCAAUUAGGCAUUUUAGAAAAGGGAAGGGAACUUCUCACCGAAGGGGGCAGUAGGAAUGAAGGAGGCGGGAAGCUACCGCUUCUAGAAUGCAAGCUUAUCCUUUACUUUUUUUUUAGAGCUAUUGAAAUAAUAAAAAAAAAAUUGUUGGAUGAAGUAAUCGGAGUGACAAAUGGUUACGGUUGCGGAAACCGGAGAAAGUCGGGAACCGUCGGUUACCUUUUGAAUCAAAGUAGCGACAAGCCGAGUACUACGGGGGAAGCAAAGCUUCGUAGACAGCUUCGCUUCCUCGUCGCUUCUUUCUGGCGACUAGCUUCUCAAGUGGGUGGCUUGGUAAGCAACAAGCUACCUUCAGCAUCGGUAAAAUCCCUAUCAAUAAAUAAUAGGCCGGAAUGGUGGGGAAGGAGGCCCCCCCUACUUCAAUGGAAAGGGGGGAA
rnacentral:misc_RNA from 1 species